rnacentral:rRNA from 1 species
GACGAACCGUGCGAACGUUGUUCGGAAUCACUGGGCUUAAAGGGCGCGUAGGCGGUCUGCCAAGUCUGGGGUGAAAUCCUCCGGCUCAACCGGAGAACGGCCUCGGAUACUGGCGGUCUCGAGGGAGGUAGGGGCGUGCGGAACUAAGGGUGGAGCGGUGAAAUGCGUUGAUAUCCUUAGGAACUCCGGUGGCGAAGGCGGGUCUCUGGGCCGAUACUGACGCUGAGGAGCGAAAGCGUGGGGAGCGAACAGG